UGUAAGUUUCAGGGAAGGUGAAAUUCCUUACUGGCGGUAACGACAAGCCGUCCGCAUUGAGCGGCGGCGUUCCAUGUCGAAGCCCGCGACCCGCGCAAGCGGCUGAUCCGGUGGGAAUCCGGAGCCAACGGUACAGUCCGGAUGGAAGAAACGGAGC
rnacentral:ncRNA from 2 species